AGUGAACGCUGGCGGUAGGCCUAACACAUGCCAGUCGAACGGCAGCACAGUAAGAGCUUGCUCUUACGGGUGGCGAGUGGCGGACGGGUGAGGAAUACAUCGGAAUCUACUUUUUCGUGGGGGAUAACGUAGGGAAACUUACGCUAAUACCGCAUACGACCUACGGGUGAAAGCAGGGGAUCUUCGGACCUUGCGCGAUUGAAUGAGCCGAUGUCGGAUUAGCUAGUUGGCGGGGUAAAGGCCCACCAAGGCGACGAUCCGUAGCUGGUCUGAGAGGAUGAUCGGCAACACUGAAACUGAGACACGGUCCAGACUCCUACGGGAGGCAGCAGUGGGGAAUAUUGGACAAUGGGCGCAAGCCUGAUCCAGCCAUACCGCGUGGGUGAAGAAGGCCUUCGGGUUGUAAAGCCCUUUUGUUGGGAAAGAAAAGCAGCAGGUUAAUACCCCGCUGUUCUGACGGUACCCAAAGAAUAAGCGCCGGCUAACUUCGU
rnacentral:rRNA from 1 species